UCGGGUUGUAAAGCACUUUCAGUCAUGAGGAAAGGUUUAGUCAGUUAAUACCUGACUAUCUGUGACGUUACUCAACAGAAGAAGCACCGGCUAACUCCGUGCCAGCAGCCGCGGUAAUACGGAGGGUGCGAGCGUUAAUCGGAAUUACUGGGCGUAAAGCGUACGCAGGCGGUUUGUUAAGCGUAGAUGUGAAAGCCCGGGCUCAAGCCUGGGAACUGCAWUUACGAARCUGGMAAACUAAGAAGUGUGAUAGAAGGGUAGGUUAGAAUUUCAAGGUUGUARCGGUUGAAAUKCGUAGAGAUCUGGAAGGAACUAWCCAGAAUGGCGGAAGGCAAGCCACYUGGGUCAACACUUGAACGCUCAAUUGUACGAAAGUCGUGGGUGAAGCGAAACAGGAAUUAGAUACCCUUGGUAAGUCCACGACGCCGUAAACCGAUGUUUAAUUAAGUAGAGUUGUGGAAUUCUAAGUUCUGAUUUACAAAUAACGCGAAUAAGUAGACCG
rnacentral:rRNA from 1 species